ACUUAAAUUGAAGAGUUUGAUCAUGGCUCAGAUUGAACGCUGGCGGCAGGCCUAACACAUGCAAGUCGAGCGGUAGCACAGAGAGCUUGCUCUCGGGUGACGAGCGGCGGACGGGUGAGUAAUGUCUGGGAAACUGCCUGAUGGAGGGGGAUAACUACUGGAAACGGUAGCUAAUACCGCAUAACGUCGCAAGACCAAAGUGGGGGACCUUCGGGCCUCAUGCCAUCAGAUGUGCCCAGAUGGGAUUAGCUAGUAGGUGGGGUAACGGCUCACCUAGGCGACGAUCCCUAGCUGGUCUGAGAGGAUGACCAGCCACACUGGAACUGAGACACGGUCCAGACUCCUACGGGAGGCAGCAGUGGGGAAUAUUGCACAAUGGGCGCAAGCCUGAUGCAGCCAUGCCGCGUGUGUGAAGAAGGCCUUCGGGUUGUAAAGCACUUUCAGCGGGGAGGAAGGCGGUGAGGUUAAUAACCUCAUCGAUUGACGUUACCCGCAGAAGAAGCACCGGCUAACUCCGUGCCAGCAGCCGCGGUAAUACGGAGGGUGCAAGCGUUAAUCGGAAUUACUGGGCGUAAAGCGCACGCAGGCGGUCUGUCAAGUCGGAUGUGAAAUCCCCGGGCUCAACCUGGGAACUGCAUUCGAAACUGGCAGGCUAGAGUCUUGUAGAGGGGGGUAGAAUUCCAGGUGUAGCGGUGAAAUGCGUAGAGAUCUGGAGGAAUACCGGUGGCGAAGGCGGCCCCCUGGACAAAGACUGACGCUCAGGUGCGAAAGCGUGGGGAGCAAACAGGAUUAGAUACCCUGGUAGUCCACGCUGUAAACGAUGUCGAUUUGGAGGUUGUGCCCUUGAGGCGUGGCUUCCGGAGCUAACGCGUUAAAUCGACCGCCUGGGGAGUACGGCCGCAAGGUUAAAACUCAAAUGAAUUGACGGGGGCCCGCACAAGCGGUGGAGCAUGUGGUUUAAUUCGAUGCAACGCGAAGAACCUUACCUGGUCUUGACAUCCACAGAACUUUCCAGAGAUGGAUUGGUGCCUUCGGGAACUGUGAGACAGGUGCUGCAUGGCUGUCGUCAGCUCGUGUUGUGAAAUGUUGGGUUAAGUCCCGCAACGAGCGCAACCCUUAUCCUUUGUUGCCAGCGGUUAGGCCGGGAACUCAAAGGAGACUGCCAGUGAUAAACUGGAGGAAGGUGGGGAUGACGUCAAGUCAUCAUGGCCCUUACGACCAGGGCUACACACGUGCUACAAUGGCAUAUACAAAGAGAAGCGACCUCGCGAGAGCAAGCGGACCUCAUAAAGUAUGUCGUAGUCCGGAUUGGAGUCUGCAACUCGACUCCAUGAAGUCGGAAUCGCUAGUAAUCGUAGAUCAGAAUGCUACGGUGAAUACGUUCCCGGGCCUUGUACACACCGCCCGUCACACCAUGGGAGUGGGUUGCAAAAGAAGUAGGUAGCUUAACCUUCGGGAGGGCGCUUACCACUUUGUGAUUCAUGACUGGGGUGAAGUCGUAACAAGGUAACCGUAGGGGAACCUGCGGUUGGAUCACCUCCUUACCUUAAAGAA
rnacentral:rRNA from 2 species